UACGAAGGGGGCUAGCGUUGCUCGGAAUGACUGGGCGUAAAGGGCGCGUAGGCGGAUGGCACAGUCAGAUGUGAAAUUCCCGGGCUUAACCUGGGGGCUGCAUUUGAUACGUGUUGUCUUGAGUUCGGAAGAGGGUCGUGGAAUUCCCAGUGUAGAGGUGGAAUUCGUAGAUAUUGGGAAGAACACCGGUGGCGAAGGCGGCGACCUGGUCCGGACCUGACGCUGAGGCGCGAAAGCGUGGGGAGCAAACAGG
rnacentral:rRNA from 1 species